UACGAAAGGGGCUAGCGUUGUUCGGAAUUACUGGGCGUAAAGCGCACGUAGGCGGCCUUGUAAGAUGGGGGUGAAAUCCCCGGGCUCAACCCGGGAACUGCCUUCAUGACUGCAAAGCUUGAGGAUGCGAGAGGUUAGCGGAAUUCCGAGUGUAGAGGUGAAAUUCGUAGAUAUUCGGAAGAACACCAGUGGCGAACGCGGCUAACUGGCGCACUUCUGACGCUGAGGUACGAAAGCGUGGGGACCAAAUAGG
rnacentral:rRNA from 1 species